rnacentral:rRNA from 1 species
AGAAGAAGCACCGGCUAACUCCGUGCCAGCAGCCGCGGUAAUACGGAGGGUGCGAGCGUUAAUCGGAAUUACUGGGCGUAAAGCGCAUGCAGGCGGCCUGUUAAGUCAGAUGUGAAAGACCCGGGGCGUUAACCUCGGAAUUGCAUUUGAAACUAGGCAGGCUAGAGUCUUGUAGAGGGGGGUAGGAAUUUCAGGUGUAGCGGUGAAAUAGCGUAGAGAUCUGAAGGAAUACCAGUGGCGAAGGCGGCCCCCUCGGACAAAGACUGACGCUCAGAUGCGAAAGCGUGGGGAGCAAACAGGAUUAGAUACCCUGGUAG